rnacentral:rRNA from 1 species
CAACGGUACAGGAUAAGCUUGCCAUCGCUGACGAGUGGCGGACGGGUGAGUAAUACUUAGGGAUCUGCCUCUGUGUGGGGGAUAACUAUUGGAAACGAUAGCUAAUACCGCAUAAUGUCUACCGACCAAAGCGGGCUUCGGCUCGUGCGCCGAGAGUGAACCUAAGCGAGAUUAGCUACGUUGGUGAGUGUAAAGGCUCACCAAGCGACGAUCUCUAACUGUUCUGAGAGGAAGAUCAGCCACACUGGAACUGAGACACGGUCCAGACUCCUACGGGAGGCAGCCAGUGGGGAAUAUUUGCACAAUGGGGGAAACCCUGAUGCAGCCAUGCCGCGUGUGUGAAGAAGGCCUUCGGGUUGUAAAGCACUUUCAGUUGUGAGGAAAGUUUACCUAGUUAAUACCUGCUAGAUGUGACGUUAGCAACAGAAAGAAGCACCGGGUAACUCCGUGCCAGCAGCCCGACGGUAAUACGGAGGGUGCGAGCGUUAAUCGGAAUUACUGGGCGUAAAAGCGCACGCAUGCGCGUCUGUUUAGCUCAGAUAGUUGAAAAGCCCCCGCGCUCAACAGUGGGAGGGUCCUUUAGAACUGGCCAGACUAGAGUCUUGGAGAGGGGAGUUGGAAUUCCAAGUGUAUGCGGUGAAU